ensembl:lncRNA
AAUCUGAGGGACUCACUUACGGGCUCCCUUCCCAAAAACGCCCAUUUAAGUAAAUGGAAUAAAAUAGAUAAAAAUAAAUCUACCAACCACCAGGCACUAGCUACAAACCACCAGCUAUCAGCCAGCUAUCAGCCACCAACCUUCACUUCAGGCCUAAUGAGAGGUGCUGAUCCCAGACUCACUGAUGGAGACAACAAUGACCACCACACACACACACACACACACACACGAGUACACACACAGGGAAGCCUUCAAUUGUGUUGUUUACAUAAUCUCUGAAUUAUUCCACUCCCCUGUGUUACAGUAUGUGCCAGGGUCCAGAGAGAGCAUAGUAUUAUGAAAAUAAUAAGCAUCUCACUGUAAGGAGUCUUUCUUCCUGCCCUGGCUGCUUAUGGGUGGCGGCAGAGGCAAUGGGAGUCAUGAAGGAGGUAACACACCUCUCAACUGCUGAGAUGAGCUGGGGCAGAGGACUGCUGGCGUGUGAGGAUACAGCAUGGUACCAAUCAGAACAGCAGCACAAAGGAGCACAGCCAUGCCCUUGUCAAAGCCCGGAGGUGCCCGUUCCCUGGUAAUAUGUUGCACCCGGUGUCAAAAUGGAUCUCUGGAUUCACCACCGCCUUAAAUCUGGGAAAGCAACACAUUCCUCUGUUUGUACAAGCUGAUAGAUACACUUUGAAAUUCAAUUCCAUUUUCUUUCAUGCCACAAGGCACGCGGAAGGAGAUGAGCACGAUUCGCUGAGAUCCUGCCUGUGCCCUUGAUGCCACCGGCACUUUCUUUUUUAGAUUAUUUAUUUACAUCUGUUGACUCAUUUAUUUGACUUGAUUUCCCCCCCCAAAAAAGGCUUUGCUUAUUUACUCAUUAAUCCAGUACUCUGGCUCUGAGUAUUUGAUAAUCAGGUGGGUUUGCCAAGGCAAAGCACCACUCGAUAUUUCAUAGUCUUAUUAUUUCUAUUAUUCCAACUUCUUCUACUGACUUUAGUGUCUAGAUCAACAUGAGACCAUUCUCAAAUGAUCCGGACUGCCAUGACUGCCAUGGUUGCUUGAUGAGGUGACUUUUGAUGAGGUGACUUUAAUUUAUUGUUUUAUAACAAUAUUUAAAUGAGGUCCUAAUUCAUAAAAAUGGACCAUGGACUUGAAUGGGGACAAAAUAAAAAAUUGUGG